CACUCCACAAACGCCAGAGCUGCCUGACAUAAACUGGGAGGCUCUUGUACAAAAAACUCAAGAGCCUUUCAGACUACUUUAGCAGAGAGCAGGAGAGGCAAGGACACACAUGAUGCCCUGGGGUCGCUGCAGUGGCAGGGAUUUUUUUAGAUUACAGCAAAAGCAGCAGUCAUUUUUGUUACACUUCAGUACAAUGUUACAAUUCCUGCCACAGAAGAACAAUCUGCAGAAACUGUCUCUCUCUAUUACUAUGGUUUCAAAGACUUGGCUACAAUUUUCUUCUACAUGCUGGUAGCAAUAAUCGUACAUGCCAUUAUUCAAGAAUAUGUGUUGGAUAAAAUUAACAGGAAAAUGCACUUUUCUAAAACGAAGCAUAGCAAGUUUAAUGAAUCUGGACAACUGAGUGCGUUCUACUUUUUCUCCUGUGUUUGGGGCGCGAGUAUUCUUGUCUCCGAGAACUACGUAUCCGAUCCAACGUCUUUGUGGAAGGACUACCCUCAUACUCUGAUUCCAUUUCAAAUGAAAUUUUUCUACAUCUCUCAGUUGGCGUACUGGUUUCAUGCUUUUCCGGAACUGUACUUCCAGAAAACUAAAAAGGAAGACAUCCCUCGCCAACUGGUCUAUAUUGGACUUUAUCUUUUUCAUAUUGCUGGAGCCUAUAUUUUGAACUUGACUCAUCUUGGACUUGUUCUUUUGGUGUUACAUUACUUUGUUGAAUUCCUCUUCCACAUCUCCCGCCUCUUCUAUUUUAGUGAUGAAAAAUACCAGAAAGGGUUUUCAGUGUGGGCAGUUCUUUUCGUUUUGGGGAGACUUCUAACCUUGAUUCUCUCUGUCCUCACUGUUGGCUUUGGUCUGGCUAGAGCAGAGAAUCAGGUGCUGGAUUUCAGUACUGGAAACUUUAAUGUGCUAGGCUUCAGGAUUGGUGUACUGGCAUCAAUCUGUGCAACUCAAGCUUUUAUGAUGUGGAAAUUCAUCAAUUUUCAGCUUAGAAGGUGGAGAGAGCAUUCUUCUUCUCAACCCCCGUCACAGAAAAAGAAGUUUGUAGCAGCCAAAGGAAAGCCCUCCAAAAAAGAGAGAGCGAUUCUCAACUAGUGUCUGCAGCUGUAAGACCUUUUGAACGGUGCAGUGGGGUGCACACAACGUUAGGACUGACAGGUGUGCAAACAAAUGCACGUGAUUUGAAAGAUGAAACCAGAGAUUUCAAAAAAUGGAGUAAAUGGAACAGUAACCUCAAAUGGAGCAGACUCGCCUCGUAGCAGGAAGGACAAAUCCUCGUAAAACUGAGUUUUAUUAAGUUAAUUGACUAAUGUCCCCAAAGAAUCUGCUUUUUACUCUGAAAAGCCCUUCAGUGCUAGAGAUCUCACUGAUGCAGAAAUACAAUUCAUGCUUUUUGAUUAUUGCUGUCGUAUUGUUUUGUGAAACUCUUUUUGAAACUAUUUUGACUAAGGAAGUUUGCCUUCAAAUAUUUAGGGGGCCACAACACUUUUUAAACAACAUUGAACACUUUUUUUAAACCUUUAGUGUGAUGAGAUAUUAGUCGGUGACUUCCACCUACUGAAUCAAAAUUCCACCUACUGAGGAUCACUGAGACAAUGAAUUCUACCUGCCAGUUUUUAUAAUUUUGGUGAGAGAUGCUGUUCCAGAAAUACCACAUUUUCCAAGAUCUCUAAGAAGUAUCGCAAAGUUGAAGUAAAACAUUUAAUAUCUAUUUUUAGAUAUUUUAACACUGCAGCAUACUACUUUGAUUUCCAUUUACAGCUCAACUUGGAUUUGUGUGACUACCAAAAUGAAACAUACGUUAUUUUGUAGGUAACAGCUAUGAUGUUUGAUUUAAGAAAUGCCCGUUUCAUUAAAACAAAAUAAUUGGUUUGAAAUGUUGCAGAAUCUUAUUGUCUAUGUUGGCUAGAAAUUUCUUGUGAGGAAAAAUACCUUUCCAAGGUAUAGCUUUAGCUCUUGAAAAUUAGAAGAGAGAAUGUUUAUUUUAGAGGAGUGAUUUGCCUAGCACUAUUUGAAUAAGUUAAUUGAGUUAACUUGUAAUAAUUGCGCUUAUACAGUCUGCAUAUCUGAGAGCAUUGGUGUGAUAUUGGACCCUUUUUGAAAACUCACUUUGUCUACAAUUUUUAGAUAGCAUCUUUUCUUAAUGUGUGAUGUGAUUUAAUUUAGAAGGUAACUGAAAGGCUCCACCAAGAGCAAAUCUGUUUAAAAUAAUCAAGUUGCGACAAACAUUCCUUUACUCUAACUCUUUUACUUUGGUUCCAUCUCUAAUUGGGAAAUGGUUCUGUUUACAGCAUAUAUUUUUUUGAUGAAAAAUAUAUAUUUAAAAGUGACAAUGGGGGUCUUUGUCUGUUUUGUUUUUCAACAGAAUUGUUGGUGUCAUUGGUUACUCUUGAACUAUCAUUACUUAAGGUUACUUCUACACCUGUCUGUCUUAGCUUUAAGUGUGAGGCCUUGCCCGUUUAUUAUAUUUUCAUUUUAAUAUUCAGUUCAUGUUUGCAUAUU